GAUGAACGCUGGCGGCGUGCCUAAUACAUGCAAGUCGAGCGAACGGACGAGAAGCUUGCUUCUCUGAUGUUAGCGGCGGACGGGUGAGUAACACGUGGAUAACCCACCUAUAAGACUGGGAUAACUUCGGGAAACCGGAGCUAAUACCGGAUAAUAUUUUGAACCGCAUGGUUCAAAAGUGAAAGACGGUCUUGCUGUCACUUAUAGAUGGAUCCGCGCUGCAUUAGCUAGUUGGUAAGGUAACGGCUUACCAAGGCAACGAUGCAUAGCCGACCUGAGAGGGUGAUCGGCCACACUGGAACUGAGACACGGUCCAGACUCCUACGGGAGGCAGCAGUAGGGAAUCUUCCGCAAAGGGCGAAAGCCUGACGGAGCAACGCCGCGUGAGUGAUGAAGGUCUUCGGAUCGUAAAACUCUGUUAUUAGGGAAGAACAUAUGUGUAAGUAACUAUGCACAUCUUGACGGUACCUAAUCAGAAAGCCACGGCUAACUACGUG
rnacentral:rRNA from 1 species